GGAUGCCAAAGAAGAAAUUUACUCCGAGAGUCACUUGGAUUGACCUUCAUUGAGAGUAAAACUUCCCCACACUAUAUUUUAUUAGAUCUGUAAAAACUUUAUCCAUUUUCUGACUAUCUGAUAAAAUAGAUACAAUUUCCCUGAAUAAUGGAUCGUCACAAAAGAUUUUUUUUUAAGGCCACUUCGUUAAAAUAGGUGUUUCCAGUACUUCCUCAUUUGGGUAUUUUACACAAAAUCUGGAAUUUUUUUUAUGUACAUGUCAUUUUUAUCAUCUGUCCCGCGCAACAAAACCAUCCACUUUUCCCGGUCACCAAUGUUCUUAACAAGAUAUCAAGAGAGAGAGGCUGGUCCAUUAUUUGCGUAGUCCAGCCAGCUUUUUUUUUUUUUUUGACAACCUUUUUUCGUUCUCUCUCAUGAAGGAUAUGUUUUGAAAAUUAAUCUUACAAAAUACAAUUCCAAACCAACUCAUGCAGUUAUCGUCUUUUCACAGUUUUGAGGAGUCAUCCUUUUUGCUAGCCAGAGUGUUAAUUGGCAAAAGUGAAAAAAUUCAUUUUGUUUAAUUUUUUAAAGUAAAUAUUCAUAACUAUAUCUUUUAUAUAAUAAUAUAUUUUUAAAAUAAUAAUCUUGUAUAUAGACAUGCUUUAAUAGAUCUAAUAAAUGAUUAACUCGGACCUACCAAUAUGGGUAUAUAAAUACUUAAAUCUGGGUAUUUAAAAUUUUGAAUGCGAAUUUUUAAAAAACCGAACUUAUAUUGAUCUAGAUUCUAGAUCUCUUGUAUAAUAUCUAGAAUAAUAUAGAUCUACAACACCUAGACUAAAGUUAAAGACUAAGACUUCACUUUCACAUCACAUUCACACGAUUAUUGAUACAGACAGUGAAUGAAACGAAUGCAGUGGUUAUACUGAUUAUACUUAAAGUGACGAUACUACUUACAGAUCUACCAGUUGAUAAACAUCAUCAUCAUAGAUAAUAAUCUACAUCUAUAAUCAUAGUGCCCUUUAUUUAGUCAAUAUAGUCAAGUCAAGAUAGUGGAACGUAAACUCGAAGGUUUAAUACAAUAUGUUAUUAACAAGUAGAACCAUGGCAACCAGUUCUGAUGAUGUCCCAGAAUGGUUCAAGGAUCAUACUUAUACUAUUUCUACUCUCUGGGCAUCCAUUCAAUAUUUAAUUUAUGUUUGGAAAUGCAAGAAAAAGGCAUGCAUUCCUGAAAAGUCAAUGAUUGGUUGCACCUCUUAAAGAUAACUUUCUGUUAUGAGAAAAGAUGAGAUUCUUGGACUCCUGCAUAGCACCACCAGAAAGGAAAAUCCCAUCAUGUUGCAAAAUAAAAGUCUUGGACCAAUUUUAAUUUAAGAUAUAUAUAUUAUACUGUAAGCUGUAUACAUAUUUAUGUAUAUCCUGUCAUUCAGCCAACAGGUUUGGAUUUAGUAUUUCUUUAAAUCUGUUUGAUAUUGUACUUGAAAACUAUUAAUCUGAGCCGCAUUAAAACAAGAGGGAGUGCAGUGGAUGAGUGGUAAGGGAAAUUUUACUUUUUUAAAAUUAAAAUAAGAAUCUAACAAAAGUAAACAUAAAAUAUGGUGCAUUCUCCUUAAAACUAAAACCUGGUGCAAAGGUUUAAAAUGUUGGCAAAAAAAAAAGCAACAUCAAUUAAAUAUUUUUAAUUCCCUUUGCAAAACUUACUGAGAAGAACAUGCAUGUUGUUCCCUCAUAAGUUUCUUGACAGAGGAAAUCUUGUUUAUAUUAGAUUUGAAUUAAGCAAAUUAAGAAAAAAAUUAUAAUCAUUAUUUCAAAUGGUUGUAUCUAAACCUUAUGAAUUAUUUUUCAGUUAUAAGUAUAUUGAAAUGAAUGGAUAAUCAUGAAAUUGUUGAAUAAUUGCUGCUAUCAUUCCAUUGACUAAAGAACCAUAAUUUUUUUUUAAAUUAAUUUCAAAAUUAAUUAAUUAAUUUUCAAGCAGAGUUCACAUAGAUCUUGAGUGAAAUUUUUCUUUUUUUGACUAAUGCUUCAAUUUUAUUGUAUCAUUAGUUUUUUAUUUUUAUUACCCAGAAUAUUUUAAAAAUGAGUACACUAUUUUCAUGUAAUAAUGUAACUUGGUAUUCACACAUCAAAAUAUGCUAUCUAUAAUCUUUAGGCCAUAUAGAUUUGUAUAAAUAUAAAUUAACCUGCUUAAAUACAUUGUAAAUGUAUAUUGUUUGGAUAAGAAUAAAGUUUUUCUGUAGACAAUUA